UACCUACAUCAUAAAAGGAGCGUUGGACUACAAACAUGGCUACUUGGGGACUUCCUGUCUCCCAGGUGCCAGACUGAUUACAAACAUUACAAAUGAGAGGAGAGUCUUUCAGAAAUCAGCUCUGAGAGGCCUGACCUUAGUGAGCCUCACAUUUAAUGCUGACAGACGUAGAACUCGCGCUAUUAAGGAUUACCGAGACAUUGGAGAAGAGUACCAACCAUGUUGGUGGAAAUCUAUCAACUAUUGGGUGAGACCUUCACAUGCUUCGUCACCGGACAGAUCAGACUCUCGACAAUCCCGACGCACAAGGGAGAAACCUUGACGAAACACACGAGAAGGAAAACAGCAGUCGGACUAAAACCUUCAAAGCAUUCGCUGUUAGCCAGAUAUUUUUGUGAUUCAGACUUUGGUGGAGACGAGCAGCAUAUGGAAAAAAAGAAAAGGGUAUUCUGUAUUUUUGGCAGCGUGUGUUGUUUGUGUUUUUAUAGAUCUUGAGGCUCCUGGAGCUCACACAAAAUGAAUUGUGAGUCGGCUGCAGCUGCCAGACGACAAGCAGAAAUACUACCACCUCUGAUGAGCUGAAAAGGAGAAACAAAUUUUUAAAAGGAGAAAGGAAAUAAGAGGAUUAUGGCUGAUAAUGUGUGUGCAACCUCCCACCAGGAGAGGAGUGUACUGUUGCAGAAUACCUGUGGUUCAUGUAAGGGCUAGUUACAAUAGAGUUAUACAUUCAGCAGACAAAAGAGGACGGCUUUGAUUUUUCGUCGGAGGCUGUGCUACAGGGAUGUGAGCUUAAAUCAAAUAGAAUCUGAUGCGCUUUCAUGUUUUUCAGGAGAAAAUAAAUGCUCUCAUUGAGGGAA